UGGGGAAUCUUGCACAAUGGGCGGAAGCCUGAUGCAGCGACGCCGCGUGGGGGAUGACGGCCUUCGGGUUGUAAACUCCUUUCGCCAGGGACGAAGCCGUGAGGUGACGGUACCUGGAUAAGAAGCACCGGCUAACUACGUGCCAGCAGCCGCGGUAAUACGUAGGGUGCGAGCGUUGUCCGGAAUUACUGGGCGUAAAGAGCUCGUAGGUGGUUUGUCGCGUCGUCUGUUAAAUUCCGGGGCUUAACUCCGGGCGUGCAGGCGAUACGGGCAUAACUUGAGUGCUGUAGGGGAGACUGGAAUUCCUGGUGUAGCGGUGAAAUGCGCAGAUAUCAGGAGGAACACCGAUGGCGAAGGCAGGUCUCUGGGCAGUAACUGACGCUGAGGAGCGAAAGCAUGGGUAGCGAACAGG
rnacentral:rRNA from 1 species